rnacentral:tRNA from 1 species
GCAUCUGUAGCUUAAUUGGAUAGAGCGUCGGACUUCGGAUCCGAAGGUUGGGGGUUCAAGUCCCUCCAGAUGCGCCA